rnacentral:rRNA from 1 species
CAGCCGCCGCGGUAAUACGUAGGGGGCAAGCGUUAUCCGGAUUUACUGGGUGUAAAGGGAGCGCAGACGGCAGUGCAAGUCUGAAGUGAAAGGCGUGGGCUCAACCCAUGAACUGCUUUGGAAACUGUAUAGCUUGAGUGUCGGGGGGGUAAGCGGAAUUCCUAGUGUAGCGGUGAAAUGCGUAGAUAUUAGGAGGAACACCGGAGGCGAAGGCGGCUUACUGGACGACAACUGACGUUGAGGCUCGAAGGCGUGGGGAGCAAACAGGAUUAGAUACCCCCGUAGUCCCUGUCUCUUAUAC